CUGCUGCCUCCCGUAGGAGUCUGGUCCGUGUCUCAGUACCAGUGUGGGGGACCUUCCUCUCAGAACCCCUACGCAUCGUCGGUUAGGUGGGCCGUUACCCCGCCUACUGCCUAAUGCGCCGCAUGCCCAUCCCUGUCCGGCGAAGCCUUUCCUGCCUCCGGGAUGCCCCGGUGGCAUGUACGCGGGUUUAGCCCGCCUUUCGGCGGGUUGUCCCCCUGACAGGGGCAGGUUGCAUACGUGUUACUCACCCGUGCGCCGGUCGCCGGCGGAGAAA
rnacentral:rRNA from 1 species